rnacentral:rRNA from 1 species
GGCUCAGGAUGAACGCGGGCGGUAUGCUUAACACAUGCAAGUCGAACGGAGUUCUUAGGAACUUAGUGGCGGACGGGUGAGUAACGCGUGAGAAUUUGGCUUCAGGUCGGGGACAACAGUUGGAAACGACUGCUAAUACCGGAUAUGCCGGAAGGUGAAAGGCUUGCUGCCUGAAGAUAAGCUCGCGUCUGAUUAGCUAGUUGGUAGUGUAAGGGACUACCAAGGCGACGAUCAGUAGCUGGUCUGAGAGGAUGAUCAGCCACACUGGGACUGAGACACGGCCCAGACUCCUACGGGAGGCAGCAGUGGGGAAUUUUCCGCAAUGGGCGAAAGCCUGACGGAGCAAUACCGCGUGAGGGAGGAAGGCUCUUGGGUCGUAAACCUCUUUUCUCAAGGAAGAAGAAAGUGACGGUACUUGAGGAAUAAGCAUCGGCUAACUCCGUGCCAGCAGCCGCGGUAAUACGGAGGAUGCAAGCGUUAUCCGGAAUGAUUGGGCGUAAAGGGUCCGCAGGUGGUACUGUAAGUCUGCUGUUAAAGAGUCUGGCUCAACCAGAUAAAAGCAGUGGAAACUACAGAACUAGAGUGCGUUCGGGGCAGAAGGAAUUCCUGGUGUAGCGGUGAAAUGCGUAGAUAUCAGGAAGAACACCGGUGGCGAAAGCGUUCUGCUAGGCCGCAACUGACACUGAGGGACGAAAGCUAGGGGAGCGAAUGGGAUUAGAUACCCCAGUAGUCCUAGCCGUAAACGAUGGAUACUAGGCGUGGCUUGUAUCGACCCGAGCCGUGCCGGAGCUAACGCGUUUAGUAUCCCGCCUGGGGAGUACGCACGCAAGUGUGAAACU